UAGGGAAUCUUCCACAAUGGACGCAAGUCUGAUGGAGCAACGCCGCGUGAGUGAAGAAGGCUUUCGGGUCGUAAAACUCUGUUAUUGAAGAAGAACGUGCGUGACAGUAACUGGUCAUGCAGUGACGGUAUUCAAUCAGAAAGUCACGGCUAACUACGUGCCAGCAGCCGCGGUAAUACGUAGGUGGCAAGCGUUGUCCGGAUUUAUUGGGCGUAAAGCGAGUGCAGGCGGUCUUUUAAGUCUGAUGUGAAAGCCUUCGGCUUAACCGAAGAAGGGCAUCGGAAACUGGGAGACUUGAGUGCAGAAGAGGAGAGUGGAACUCCAUGUGUAGCGGUGAAAUGCGUAGAUAUAUGGAAGAACACCAGUGGCGAAGGCGGCUCUCUGGUCUGUAACUGACGCUGAGGCUCGAAAGCGUGGGUAGCAAACAGGAUUAGAUACCCUGGUAGUCC
rnacentral:rRNA from 1 species